AACGAACGCUGGCGGCAUGCCUAACACAUGCAAGUCGAACGAGACGUGCUGGUUUAGGUGCGGGCCGGGGGGUAACCGCGGAGGAACUUGCCUUAGGUACGGGAUAAACCCCUGGAAAGGGUUGUAAUACCGCAGAAGGUCGUGGGGCCAAAGGAGUAAUGCCUCUGGAUGGGGCCGCGUUUGAUUAGCUAGUGGGUAGGGUAAAAGCCUACCAAGAGGACGAUCCCUGGCUGGUCUGAGAGGAUGCUAGGCCACACUGGGAUUGUGACCCGGCCCAGACACCUAGGGAAGGAAGCAGUGGGGAAUAUUGGACAAGGGGCGAAGGCGUACUCAAGAAAUGCCGCGUGAGUGAUGAAGCCCUUAGGGUUGUAACUCUCUUUUACCCGGGAUGAUAAUGACAGUAACGGGAGAAUAAGCUCCGGCUAACUCCGUG
rnacentral:rRNA from 1 species